UCAAAAAUCUAUCAGUCAGCACUGAGAGCCUUUCCCCCUCCCCUCCCCACCAUUCUGUUGAUAAUGCUCAAGAUGAAGCUUGCUGAAACUUUGAAAGUCGGGAUUAAGUCUUUAAAAUUUUAUUUUAUUUCAGRUGAAAAUUUGCAGUCAUCCCARAAAAUGUGGUAGAAGAAUGUGCAUCUACAGAACAAAAAUUAUAUUAAACAUGUUUCGACCUGAUCUGGUUCCAAAUAUGAAUAGGUUUUCAGUAACAAUGUCAUAUAUCUUGGUUGAAGGAGUGAAGAAAAUGAAGAAACAAAAAUGUGUUAACUCCAGUGCACCGUUUUCAUGCUUUAGCAUUGUUCUGCUCCCUAGGUGUCAUGCAUAAAUGAAAAUGUCAGCUGUGAGAAUGUCCAAUUUGUCUUCGAGGCAACACUUGCAGAUAAGAAAAAUAAUGGACUUUCUAGAUUACUCCACCUUGCCUAUAGAUCCUUUCAUGGAGGAGGGGAAGAAAUCUCCACAUAGGUCUGGCUUCAGACAAAGUACCUCUGCUUCACUGGUAGCCAAGGAGUGCUACAGAGCUGAUGUGUUGGCCCUGCA